UAUUUCAAUUUUAAAUUACAGUUUUAAUCUUUAAAAGUCAGUCGCAGUAUUUUUAAUUAUUUAAUUUUUGUGAAUAGUUCUUUUAUUUAUUAUUCAUUUGUUUGGUUUGAUUCAGUUUCUUUCAUACUGUACAUCGAUAUUUGUUCUAUGGCCGGCUACUGGGCGCGGUAUCGUCGCUUCCCGGUCUGACGUCACCAGCGCCAUAGCGCGGGUGUGGGAGUCGGCUGUGAGCCUCGGGGAGCGAUGGACUGCGAGUCGCCGCCGACGCACGUGCGGAGGAACUACGCCGCGGGCAGAGGUGUAUAAUUCCUUCGACACAGCACCAGGCAGUCCGUGCCUGGAUUGGCAUGGACGAGGCCGUACCUUCAGCUGCUACAAAAGGAAGUGCCUCGCAAGAGAAUACUUCGAUAAGUUCGUCGCAGACCCAUUUCAUUGGAAGAACUCAACGUGUCAUUUGGACCAUGCUCCAAAUUUUCUGGCAGUGGAUGGCGACCAUCUAAUCACUAUUCAAGGGAAGGUGUCGUGUACCGGGGAUGACGAGCAGUUGGGGCGAACGACAUCGAGAUGCACCGGCUGGGAGAGGAAGAGUUUGAAUGGGGGUGUGAUUCUGCAGCUCACGGUUCCGCAUUCUGUUCCUGCCUCUGCCCUGAGUUGGUGCAUCUCUUCCGCCGUCUCCCUCCUGGCUGCUUGCUGUCCCAAGCAGUGCUAGCAUGUGAAAUUAUGUAGACCGCACUUGUCCCUCGAGAAGAAAUUGUCAAUAAGUUAUAAUAGAAUUUAGAUAUUAUCUUUGAAAGAUUUGUGCAAUGGGAGUGCACGACUUGAUGUAAGCUUUUGGACUUACACCAUUGCUAAGCACAUACAGACAUACAUGCAUGUGCUUAGCAAUGGCGUAUGUCCAAAAGCUUGCAUCAAGUAGAAUUUAGAGUUGGUAUUUAUAUGAAAGCAUCAAACAGUGUAAUCACUAUUUUGAAUUUAUGACUGUUAAUGGAUCACAUUGAUGUCUUAUAGAAAUGAUAAAAAAAAUUUUUUUUUUAACUUUAAGAAGUGAAUUUGAGCAUUCCCAAGCAUUGUUGUAAGCUUGUGGGAUACAAGCUCCUGCCGCCCGGGGUGAUGUCACGUGGUUAAAAAUUAUCAUUAAUUAAUUAUUUUAUUUGUCGGAAAGAAUAUUUAAAUCUUUUCUCUAGUUCGGGACUUGGUUUCCCUCAAGCUCAGAUGUUGUAACACCGCGGGGCUGGGAGAGUGCGAGUCAUGCACGUAUUUGUCUGGUGGCGCAGGGGUGACCGCGUUUCAGCCAGGCCAGCUGACGCGUUGUUGUGCUGCGGUUCUGGAGAAAUUCGGCGCAGGCUUGUUUACCGUUCUUUUGAGGCUAGCUGAGAGCGCAGAUUGUGCGCAGUCGCUGUGCGCAGGCGAGUGUCGCAAUCUAGCGGCCGGUUUUCUGACUACGUGGACAUCACAGCUUGGAGUAGGCGCGCGCGGCCGGCUUGUUUUAAUAACUUCACGUUUUUGGGAAACACAGGAAAACUUCCCGUCAGGAUGUUUUUUCCCGUUGGGGUUUUGGGGCCAAGUAAUUUGGUUAAAAGGGACGUGAAAUGUUUCUUCGCGGCUGUAAUCCUGUGAAAGGCUGUUAUGCUGCCCGGCCGUGCCUCGUAGGAGUGAGGGUUAGGUGAGUGAAAUGGCGUCUGGAUGAUGCCUUGGUCUUAGUCUUCCACAACUUAUGUUUCUUCGUAGUUAACUUUAAAAUUCACUUUUGACGUGGUAGUUGCUCUUAAAUAAUUUUUGAACAAUGGUUUACUACAUUUUAAUGAGGUCAGAACUAAAGUUUUUUUUUAUUUUCUAUUAUAAGCUCUGUAAUUCGUUUGUAUCACGAUCCUUUUCUUACGUGUUUAUGAUGACGUUAUCGAACUAAACUGAGUAAUUUUUAAAGUAUUUUUCUUGUUAGUGAAUGUUCUUGAUAAUUUUAAUACUGAAGUUGCGGAAUAACUAUUGACGUUUGGCAUCACUAGGUGGCAUGGAAACUUAUGAUAAGAAUAAAUUAAUUAUGUUUGUGGGUUGAAUAAUGUAAUCAUAAUAACUACUGGUUUACUUUACAGCGACCAAGCGGCUUAUUCCUUUUAUUAUUGGGUUAACUUUGUUUAUGAGUGUUUUCCUCUCAUGUUGAAAGGAAAGCUUGACUGUGUUUAUUUAUUUAUCUAUCUGUAUGUAUUUAUUUAUUGUAGAGGACAUGGAAGGUUCCACCUCAUUUGUUAUCACUAUUUGUUUUCUUAAUAAAUGUUAUGUGUUAUAUUGUUUUCAGGGUUCUUAUUUUUCUCAGUAUCAUGAUUUUUCAGUUCUUGUACAAGGAUAAACCUACUAAAAUGAUUCUAGUGCCGAGAAGCUCUAUGGUUAGUUAAAAUAAAAACUUUAUUAUUUAUCUGAGCUACACAAGAAGAGAAACACCCUCCCC